AUACGUAGGGUGCGAGCGUUGUCCGGAAUGAUUGGGCGUAAAGGGCGCGUAGGCGGCGCGGUAAGUCUGGAGUGAAAGUCCUGCUUUCAAGGUGGGAAUUGCUUUGGAUACUGCCGCGCUUGAGUGCAGGAGAGGUUAUCGGAAUUCCCGGUGUAGCGGUGAAAAGCGUAGAGAUCGGGAGGAACACCAGUGGCGAAGGCGGGUAACUGGACUGCAACUGACGCUGAGGCGCGAAAGUGUGGGGAGCAAACAGGAUUAGAUACCCUGGUAGUCCACACUGUAAACGAUGAAUGCUAGGUGUAAGAGGUAUCGGCCCCUGUUGUGCCGGAGUCAACACAAUAAGCAUUCCGCCUGGGGAGUACGGCCGCAAGGUUGAAACUCAAAUGAAUUGGCGGGG
rnacentral:rRNA from 1 species